UGCCCAGGUUGGAUUUUGGUGUCCCUGGAGGGAUUUCGGGGUGCCCAGGUGGAUUUUGGGGUCCCCAGGUUGGAUUUGGUGUUCCCAGGUGGAUUUUGGGGUUACCUGGGUGGAUUUUGGGGUCCCCAGGUUGGAUUUGGUGUUCCCAGGUGGAUUUUGGGGCCCCUGGUUGGAUUUCGGGGUGCCCAGAUGGAUUUUGGUGUCCCCAGGUGGAUUUUGGGGUGCCCAGAUGGAUUUUUGGGGUCCCCAGUUGGAUUUCGGGGUGCCCGGAUGGAUUUUUGGGGUGCCCAGGUUGGAUUUUGGUGUCCCCGGAUGGAUUUUGGGGUCCCCACAUGAAUUCUGAUCUCCCCGGAUGGAUUUUGGGGUCCCCAUUUGUAUUUUUGGGUCCCCAGUUUGUAUUUCAGUGUCCCCGGAUGGAUUUCGGGGUGCCC